rnacentral:rRNA from 1 species
UACAGAGGUCUCAAGCGUUGUUCGGAUUCAUUGGGCGUAAAGGGUGCGUAGGUGGCGCGCUAAGUCAGGUGUGAAAUUUCGGAGCUUAACUCCGAAACUGCAUUUGAUACUGGCGUGCUUGAGGACUGGAGAGGAGACUGGAAUUUACGGUGUAGCGGUGAAAUGCGUAGAUAUCGUAAGGAAGACCAGUGGCGAAGGCGGGUCUCUGGACAGUUCCUGACGCUGAGGCACGAAGGCCAGGGGAGCAAACGGG